ensembl:snoRNA
AAGCAUCUAUUUGACAGACCUGGAGCAGUUACUGUCUGCUCUUCAGGUUUCCUACAGAUGCAAGAGAAAAUGUCCUCGCGCUUUCUGCCUGCCUGCCUGUGGCAGCCAUGAUUGAAUAGGGGAGUACAGUA